GAUGAACGCUGGCGGCGUGCCUAAUACAUGCAAGUCGAGCGAACGGACGAGAAGCUUGCUUCUCUGAUGUUAGCGGCGGACGGGUGAGUAACACGUGGAUAACCUACCUAUAAGACUGGGAUAACUUCGGGAAACCGGAGCUAAUACCGGAUAAUAUUUUGAACCGCAUGGUUCAAAAGUGAAAGACGGUCUUGCUGUCACUUAUAGAUGGAUCCGCGCUGCAUUAGCUAGUUGGUAAGGUAACGGCUUACCAAGGCAACGAUGCAUAGCCGACCUGAGAGGGUGAUCGGCCACACUGGAACUGAGACACGGUCCAGACUCCUACGGGAGGCAGCAGUAGGGAAUCUUCCGCAAUGGGCGAAAGCCUGACGGAGCAACGCCGCGUGGGUGAUGAAAGUCUUCGGAUCGUAAAACUCUGUUAUUAGGGAAGAACAUAUGUGUAAGUAACUGUGCACAUCUUGACGGUACCUAAUCAGAAAGCCACGGCUAACUACGUG
rnacentral:rRNA from 1 species